rnacentral:tRNA from 1 species
GCCGCUGUCGCAUAGUGGUAUUGCAGCCGGUUUACAACCGGCAUCCGGGCACGGAUUUGCGGGUUCGAUUCCCGCCAGCGGCG